rnacentral:lncRNA from 1 species
CUUAGGUCCUAUGAGCUGUGCUGGAGGAAAUACUUGAAACUGGUACCCACCAGGAGCAUCCCUUCCUCCCUGGUGCGUCUGGGGAUCUGGAGUAGUGAGCUACAGCGCUGUCACCAUCUCACACUGGACUUGACAUUCCAGAAUUGGAACUGGCUCCACAUCAGGGAGCACAGUCCAUGAGGAAAGGCUUCAAAGUACCUCUGCUCUUUGACCAGAAGACGUAAAAUUUCUAUUACCAUAUUUUACCAUUCUCUUUGUGGAAGUAGAUCGGAUCUUUAAAGAAGUUCAGUUUCUUGAAUGUUAUUGUGUGUUUACUAUGAGCGAUGUAUGGUAGGUUAUAAGGGAAACGGCGAUGAAUAAGAAAAGGACUUGGGGGUGGGAAGAGUAUAUGGAAGUAACUGAAACAUGAAGCCAAACAAACAGCAAAGUGUCAGACCUGGAAGAACUGGGUUUGAUUCUGGUCUUCACUACCUACUGUGUGAUUUUAGGGGUAUGGAGGUUCCUUCCUUGAGCAUCCUUGAGCAUCACCCUCAUAUGGAGAAUUAAAAAUAGCCCUGGGAAGGAAAGGCAGGGAGCAGAGGUGAAGAGAGUGGAAUGUUGCUGUUAGAGAAAUGACUGGCAGUGUUUAUUUUCAAUCACAGAACUGCACAUCCAUGCUCACCGAGUGUCUGUCCACAUCCAGGUCUUAGUCUGGGAAUGUUCCAAAUGAGGCAAAGCUUGGAAUUACA